CGGAAGCGGGGCGGGGGCGCAGGCUCCUAGGGCUUUUGUUGCCGGGUGCAUGGGCGCAGGGCCGAGGGUGGCAGGGCACGCCACUUCCGUGCGCUGCGUGCGCCGUGCGCUACGUGCGCACGACGAGCGGGAAUUAAAGAUUACGGCUAGACUCGCCCCUGGCUCCGCCCCCUAGGAGCCCCGCCUAGGGGUUUCCAUGGUGAUGAUAAAUUAGCCUAAAAUGCCUCAGCUAGGCCUCCGCGUUCCGUCCUCUAGGUGCUCAGAGGGACGACCGAGGUGCUGGGUGUGUAUAAGAGCGGGAGGGUGGAGAUUCGAAACCCGAGCUGAGGGGUGGGACGGGAAGCGUGUUCGAGACCAGCACCCCUUGACCAACUGGGGACUCUGGGGGUAGGGACAGCGGGUCUGCGAUUUGGGAUGGGGGCGGAGUCGUUCUUUGCAGAGGCAGCAAAGAGUAUCCUUGGCUUCAGUGGAGGAGUCUCCAGCCCACCCCGGGAGACGGAGACCGGAGGAGCCGGAAGGGGACGAGUUUGAGGAAAAUCCCUUUUUUAGGGGAGGGAUGUUGGGGGAGCCCUAGACGGAUCCGCAUCCUAGGACCUGGAGGUUUGAGAGGUCUGCGCCUGCCUGCGAGGACACCUUAAACGGUGCAGCCGUGAUAACAGGACAGGACGUGGUGUGUGUGCCCCAGUAAUGAUAUGGGAUUCCUAAGGCAUCUUGGUUGCUGCCAGACACCAAGGGCACCUUAACUACCUCUCUGCCAGCCUGGGAGUGGACCCACAACUGCUUUCCCAGCCCUCUGGGUACAAGGAGAAGGGAGCCCCAAAACUCAAGCUGUCGCUGGAGCUUCUUGCAUCUUUUCAAGCUGUCAUCUCCUGCAGGUUUUGGACUAUGGAUACAACUCUCCACAAAAAGUCAUACCCAAGCGAGUUUGAUGCCUGUCCUGUCAGGUGUCUCUGCUGCUUGGUCCUGAAGGCCGUGGAGGACUGGCGGCCCAGCUCGUCCUGGUGCUUGUCUGCUGAGAUGUGCAGAAUUUCCAGAACUGAAUAUGGGGCAUCUGGUGUUGAUCUCAUUUUUUUGUUGGAUGCUAAUCAGAAGAUUAUAUCAAAUGGCCCUGAAAAAAGACAGAGAAACCAUGGGACACAGGUAUAUUGAAGUAUUCUAGUCCCACAGAAAUGAAGCAGGUGGGUAUUGAAGCACAGUGAAACAUACUGUAUUAGUCAAGACAGCUGGUUUUAUAGGAAACCUCUACUGAUUCCAGCCUAACCUUACACGGGGAAUCCAGGAACAACGAAUAGCUGUUUUUAUAGAAGUGGAAGCUGUGUAACCAAUUUGCACCAUGAACUUGUGAAAUCAGUUGUUUAUUUUUUUAGAAUCCCUUUUCAGUAUUUUGUAAUGCCUCAAAAUGCUUCUUGCAUGUUGAGCUUAUUUCAAUUUAUAUUGUAGUGGCAUACCUCAGCAGUUGUAUAUUUAUAUUGAAGUAAUUUCAGUUUUGUGAAAUAACUUUUAUACCAUACUCAUCUAAACACAUUCGGGAGACAUGCUUUAAAAAAAUUCUAUUAAAGGUCUUAGAUCCAUAAUAUUUUAAAAAUUUGAUGCUUUUUUCCUUCUAAUCUUUUUUUUUCCCCCAUUUAAAAUCCUUUAAGGUAACUUCAGAUUUUACAACAUUAAAUUUGAAAAUUGAAAUAUAAUACCAGUACUGUUGGGUUUUGGUCUUUGUGACUAUGUGAAAUUGUGAAGCCUUAAUUUAAGCUUCUCUUUUUAUCAUUAGUUCCUUUUAGGUGUGCUUUGCUAAGUGAAACAUUUAAUAAUUUUGUUAGCAAAUUAAAUUAUUUUUCAAAGAAAGACUCAGGAUUCAGGAUAUAGUUGUGCUUGUGGCCAUGACUUAUUACCACAUAAGGAGGCAGAGUAGAAUCAGCAAAAAGGAAAAAAAGUGCCUGGGAUGAAGUCCAGAGGUAACUGGACAUGAGCUUCCCAGAAUCCUCUGUUAGUGGACUCCCACAGGAUGCGCUGAAUUCCCCCGACAACUAGCUGCAGUACUCAUGGGAAGUGUUGUCUACCAGGGAAGUUUAUCAAAGGCUAGGAGUCCAGGGUGUUUCUUGGGGGUCAGUCAUGGAGGCAACAUGGUACCCAUAUGAUUGAUGAGGGAAGCAGGUGUUCAGCAGUGACCACAUCAUUUGUUAGGUUAGGUGUGUAUUGAGCCACUCUUAUCAUUUAGGUGAAGUUUUAUGUGAGCAUAGGCAACUGUUUCCCAGGUAAGUUCUCAGAUACCAGCCAAGGGCCAGUCUUGCAAGCAGGGGGGACUCAGGCCUGCUAUGUUAACUCUUUUUGGCAUGAAAUAUAAAUGGCACAAACACACCAAUAAAAUGACAGAUUGUCAGAGUGGAUUAAAAAAAGACUCAAUGUGUAUAAGAGUCCUUAUGUAUAUGACUACCUAUAAAUAAUAGGUAGUUUUAAAGAGAUGGGAAAAGGUAUAACAUGCAAACAGUAAAAAAAAGGAAUAUCUGAUGUGACUGUAUUGCUAUCAGACAAAGCAGGCUUUUGAACAAUGAAAAUUACCAGAAAUAGCGUAUAUAAUGAAAAAAGACUGAGUAGCCAGAACUAUUUUGAAAAAGGGUAAAAUUGGAGGAAUCACAUUACUACCCAAUUUUAAAACUUACUAUAAGGCUAUUGGAAUCAAGAGGGUAUGGUAUUGGUGGAAGGAUAGACUGGUUAGUGGGACAGAAUAGAGAGUCCAGAAAUUGACACAGACAUGGCCAAUUUUUGACAACAAAUUCAAUGGAAACAAUUUGCAACAGUUCAACGGGAAAAGAAUAGUCCUAUAAAUAAGUGCUGGAACGACCAGAUGUCCAUCUGCAAAUAAAAUGAACCCUAACUGAAACCUCACACUUUACAUAUUAACUCAGAAUGGAUCACAGAUCCAACUAUAAAACUAUAAAGUGAUUUGUUGGUUAAACCCCUUAGGACUAUGUUGAAGUAACAGCAAUGAAAUAUAUCCUAAGAAUACCUCCCUUACGGUGUAUGUAACAUGAUGUGUACCACCGCUGUUAUAAAUGAGGGAACAGGCAAAUAGAAAAUUGGCAACCUAAGGGCGCAGAGUUUGUAAAUGUGUCUCUCAGUGAUGGUUUAUGAGGGAUUUGUGUUGACAGAAGAGAUGGUGAAGAAAGGGAUGGGAUAGGAAGCAAAUGUUUUAGAAGAUAAUUUUUCUCAGGAGGGUCUGGAUAUCGGAAACUUGUUGCUUCUGCUGAUUCUGUUAAUAAAUCACAAUUCCCCAUCUGUA